UUCUGGCUCAGGAUGAACGCUGGCGGCGUGCCUAACACAUGCAAGUCGAACGGAAACUAGGCGCUUCGGAGACUUCGGUCAAUGUUGCUAGUUUAGUGGCGGACGGGUGAGUAACGCGUGGAUAACCUGCCAUAUACAGGGGGAUAACAGUUAGAAAUGACUGCUAAUACCGCAUAAGCGCACAGUCUCGCAUGGGACAGUGUGAAAAAACUCCGGUGGUAUAUGAUGGAUCCGCGUCUGAUUAGCCAGUUGGCGGGGUAACGGCCCACCAAAGCGACGAUCAGUAGCCGGCCUGAGAGGGUGAACGGCCACAUUGGGACUGAGACACGGCCCAAACUCCUACGGGAGGCAGCAGUGGGGGAUAUUGCACAAUGGGGGAAACCCUGAUGCAGCCGACGCCGCGUGAGUGAAGAAGUAUUUCGGUAUGUAAAGCUCUUUAAGCAGGAAAGAUAAUGACGGUACCUGCAGAAUAAGCACCGGCUAAAUACGUGCCAGCAGCGGC
rnacentral:rRNA from 1 species